rfam:Oryza meridionalis cultivar OR44 (W2112) chromosome 3, whole genome shotgun sequence.
UAUAAACGCAACGACGAGUUUUCGUUUCUAACUUUGAUCGUUCGUCUUAUUUAAUUUUUUUUAUUAUUUUUAUUCAUAUUAUACGAUAAAAUAUGAAUAUUACUUUAUGCGCGACUUAUAUUUUUAAUUUUUUAAAAUAUAAUAGACAAUUAAAGUUAGACAUGGAAACUCAUGAUUGCGUUUAAA